CACGUAGGGUGCGAGCGUUGUCCGGAAUUAUUGGGCGUAAAGAGCUCGUAGGCGGUGUGUCGCGUCGGCCGUGAAAACCUGCAGCUUAACUGUGGGCUUGCGGUCGAUACGGGCAUCACUGGAGUUCGGCAGGGGAGACUGGAAUUCCUGGUGUAGCGGUGAAAUGCGCAGAUAUCAGGAGGAACACCGGUGGCGAAGGCGGGUCUCUGGAACGGUACUGACGACUGGAGACGCGAAAGCGUUGGGGAGCGAACAGG
rnacentral:rRNA from 1 species